UCGCUAUCAUGUGUGUUUGUGAGGCGUUGGUGGAAGUGUUUUGCUAGGUUACAGUCGGCCAGACUGAGUGUACAAACAUCGAACCAUCGAUCGAAUGAAGUCAAACCUCCCUGUCAAGAUAUGGCAAAACAAACACCCAUUUGAUGUUGGUCAAUAGCAUGUGAUACAUAAUAAGACUGACUUGUUUAUAUCUCUGAUGCUUCAAGCGCGAAUCACACAAGAAAGUCUAUGAUCGCAGAAGACAGAGGAUUUCUUCAGUGGCACCAAACAAAUUAAGCACAGGUCAAGAAGAAUUAGCCAAACGUAAGCAAAAGCAAACGCAAGUGUUGUAUUGCGAUUUGGCUGAGGUCUGAA